GCCUAAAUAAAUCCAGCAAUUAAGCUGCCUAAAUAAACCUAGCAAAUAUACUGCUUAAAUAAACAAGCAUCAUGUAAGAGAAAAAACAACCCAGAGCAGAAACAACUCUGAGUUGGUGAGUGCUCACCUGGAGGCAGCAGCAAAGAAAGAGGAAAUGGAAGGGCCUGCUUAGGGGUUUUAUACUACUGUUGCUUUGUUCUGAUUGGUUGUUUUGAAAAGUUCUG